CAGGAGGAAGUGCAGGUUCUGUUGGAUUCUUUGGUCCACGGCAAUCCCAAGUACCAAAAUCAAGUGUAUAAAGGUCUAAUAGCUUUGCUGCCCUGCGAGUCCCCGAAAGCCCAGCAGCUGUCCCUGCAGACUCUCAGGACUGCCCAGCCAUCGAGUUGAUCAAGGACCUGGUCGGUUACGAUGUGCGCCAGGCGCUGCUCAAAGGCCUCGUGGCGCUGCUGAUACCGUCGGUCAAGGAGACCUCCAAACUGCAGGCCAAGAUCCUCAGUGGUAAGGACCUGCUCAAAUGGGGCUGCCUGGGCCACGGGAGGGCGGUCUCUUGCCUCACGGCUGCCCCCUCCUCAGACCCCUCGGUUCUCCAGCUCACCCCCAGCCUGCCGAUGUUUUUGCAGCAGGCCGCGGCCG
rnacentral:sRNA from 1 species